CCUUGGCUUAAGAAAAGAUCUUUACCAGAGAUGCAAAGAACCCAUGGAAGGUUAUGUGGGAUGCAUGUAUUACCACACAAAUGAGUUCGAUUUAUGCUGCAACAGCAGCAGGCGUUCGAGAAAGCUUGCCCUUUGGAGUGAUUCUCGGCAAGCAAAGCAUUGUUUGAGAUUUCCAUUCUUGAAAUAAGUUUUG